AUCUAUGAAAUAUAUAAGUUUAGGCCACACCAAUUUGAUUCCUUGUUCGACGGACCCGCCCGCACCUAUUUUUUUCAAAACAGAUUUUUUUUAUUUUUUUUAUAUUCCCGCUUCCCGCAUCCGGAAAUGUAAUCAUGUCCAUUUCCAGCACCGUUUUUUUUGUAAAUAUUAUAAAAAAGAUAUCAACAUUUGUUUUUAAAAUCACAGUCUAACCUGUAUAUAACGAUUUUAAGCAUAAAAGCACCCCACCACACUGUGUAAAUAUCUGUGAGAA
rnacentral:lncRNA from 1 species